rnacentral:lncRNA from 1 species
GUACGCGUAAUCGAACGGUUAAUUUACAACGCCGGGCAACAGUGGUUUCAGGUGGACAUCAGCUGUUUACCACGCGACUAAACACUAGAAUUUUUUUUGUUUACGAUGCGAAUUCCUAGAGGUUAGUUUUACGUUGAAAAAAAAUUAAAAAGUUUUUUAGAGAACUUCAAUGAUGGUGUAGUUCGAUUAAAGAGCAUUUCAAUAGGAAAUCAAGUCUGCGCAAGAUAAUCAUUAGAAGGAGUGACUUUGUGAGCAUCAAUAUGGGCAACUAUGCGUUUAACCACUAGCUUCCUAAUACUUCUGUCAUGCUGGGGUUUGACCAUGGAAGAACUACAACCGACCCCAAAUGCAUAUCUUUACUCUGAUGUAGAUGCUUGCACAAGAUAUAACUUCUUGCCGAUCAAUGAAAAAAAUUUCCGGGAAGCCAUUCUUUUCUUCAAUCUUUGCCAGCAGCUCAUACAUGUUCUUCCAGCAGAACAACGUAAAGACUAUGCUAGAUACCUUAGACAUGAGCUUAUCAUGACACGAAAUGAAUUCAAAUCAAAAACGAAAACAAAGAUAUUGCACAAUGGCUUGAAAAAAAAUCGACUCUCUUCUCCUGGAUAUAGACAAACAGCAGUCUGACACAGGAAAUGAUCAUGCGCUGGUAUCUUCAGCCUUCCAGUUACCAUUCAGUCGAUUUCAUUUAUGGAAAAAAGGAGGUCCAAAAGGAACUGAUACUCAAAGACAACGCUGAGAACAAACGACGAAGAGUCAAUUUCUAAGCCACCUGAGUAUGAAAAUAUAGAUCAAGACGAUCUCCUUUCGGAGGAGAGGAUAAGUCUCAAUGAUGUUGCUUUAAUAGGACUGAUUUUGGGAUUAGUAUCAACAGUCUCUGCCGCAUUUACUUUGCUGUACAUCUGUUACUGUGGGUGAGUGGUCUUCUUAAACAAAGACGAGUUCUAAAAUAACAACUUUUUUCUUGGCUAAACUUAUGAAUUCUUUUAAUUUUUAAUUGCUCACCAAGUCAGGAAAUUAGUUUUUUUGAUUGGAACUCAAAAAAUUUCCUUUCCCUAACAAAUCUUUAGAAAUUCAAGGCAGGUCACUUCCCUAUCA